UACGGAGGGGGCUAGCGUUGUUCGGAAUUACUGGGCGUAAAGCGCGCGUAGGCGGACCUGCAAGUCGGGGGUGAAAGCCCGAGGCUCAACCUCGGAACUGCCUUCGAUACUGCGGGUCUCGAGUCCGGGAGAGGUGAGUGGAAUUCCUAGUGUAGAGGUGAAAUUCGUAGAUAUUAGGAAGAACACCAGUGGCGAAGGCGGCUCACUGGCCCGGGUACUGACGCUG
rnacentral:rRNA from 1 species